rnacentral:tRNA from 1 species
AUUUAUAUAGUUUAAUUAAAACAUUACAUUUUCAUUGUAAAAUCAGAAAAUUUCUUAUAAAUA